CUAAGCAUAUCAAUAAGCGGAGGAAAAGAAACUAACAAGGAUUCCCCUAGUAACUGCGAGUGAAGCGGGAAAAGCUCAAAUUUAAAAUCUGGCGGUCUCUGGCCGUCCGAGUUGUAAUCUAGAGAAGUGUUAUCCGCGUUGGACCGUGUACAAGUCUCCUGGAAUGGAGCGUCAUAGAGGGUGAGAAUCCCGUCUUUGACACGGACUGCCAAGGCUUUGUGAUGCGCUCUCAAAGAGUCGAGUUGUUUGGGAAUGCAGCUCAAAAUGGGUGGUAAAUUCCAUCUAAAGCUAAAUAUUGGCGAGAGACCGAUAGCGAACAAGUACCGUGAGGGAAAGAUGAAAAGAACUUUGGAAAGAGAGUUAAACAGUACGUGAAAUUGCUGAAAGGGAAACGCUUGAAGUCAGUCGCGUUGGCCGAGGAUCAACCUUGCUUUUGCUGGGCGUACUUCUCGGUYGACGGGUCAGCAUCAAUUUUGACCGGUGGAUAAAGGCUAGGGGAAUGUGGCAUCYUCGGAUGUGUUAUAGCCCUUGGUCGCAUACAUCGGUUGGGAUUGAGGAACUCAGCACGCCGCAAGGCCGGGUUUUUAACCACGUACGUGCUUAGGAUGCUGGCAUAAUGGCUUUAAUCGACCCGUCUUGAAACACGGACCAAGGAGUCUAACAUGCCUGCGAGUGUUUGGGUGGAAAACCCGAGCGCGUAAUGAAAGUGAAAGUUGAGAUCCCUGUCGUGGGGAGCAUCGACGCCCGGACCAGACCUUUUGUGACGGUUCCGCGGUAGAGCAUGUAUGUUGGGACCCGAAAGAUGGUGAACUAUGCCUGAAUAGGGUGAAGCCAGAGGAAACUCUGGUGGAGGCUCGUAGCGAUUCUGACGUGCAAAUCGAUCGUCAAAUUUGGGUAUAGGGGCGAAAGACUAAUCGAACCAUCUAGUAGCUGGUUCCUGCCGA
rnacentral:rRNA from 1 species